rnacentral:miRNA from 1 species
AGCUGGGGGGAUUUGAGAGAGAGAGAGAGAGAGAGAGAAGAAAAGAAAAAUAAAGCAAGAAGGGAGGGGGAUAAAGAAGGAUGGUAACUUCUUGCAAAGAACAAAGGCAAAGAAAAGCUAAAAAUGAGAGAGAGGUUCUCUCUCUCUCUCUGUGCUGAUAUCUCUGGCUGUGGUUGUGGCUGUGGGAGAAGGAAUCAAGGUGUCUGACACUAGAGGGGUCAUGUGCUUAGAGCCUUUGUUUCAACUUAACUCUCUCUCUCUCUCUCUCUCUCUCUCUCUCUCUCUCUCUCUCUCUCU